GGUCCUAUAGUCUAGUGGUCAGGACGUCAGAUUUUGACUGAUCAUCGUUCUUCUGAAGUCGCCAGUUCGAACCUGGCUAGGACCU
rnacentral:tRNA from 1 species